GACGAACGCUGGCGGCGUGCUUAACACAUGCAAGUCGAACGGAAAGGCCCUGCUUUUGUUGGGUGCUCGAGUGGCUAACGGGUGAGUAACACGUGAGUAACCUGCCCUUGACUUUGGGAUAACUUCAGGAAACUGGGGCUAAUACCUGAUAUUAGCUCCUGCUGCAUGGUGUGGGUUGGAUAGUUUCGGCGGUUGGUGAUGGACUCGCGGCUUAUCAGCUUGUUGGUGGGGUAGUGGCUUACCAAGGCUUUGACGGGUAGCCGGCCUGAGAGGGUGACCGGCCACAUUGGGACUGAGAUAAGGCCCAGAAUCCUACGGGAGGCAGCAGUGGGGAAUAUUGCACAAUGGGAGGAAGCCUGAUGCAGCAACGCCGCGUGCGGGAUGACGGCCUUCGGGUUGUAAACCGCUUGCGCCUGUGACGAAGCGUGAGUGACGGUAAUGGGUAAAGAAGCACCGGCUAACUACGUG
rnacentral:rRNA from 1 species